AUGUUACUUUCAUCCAACUUGCUGUCAGAAGAGGCUUCUUGCUUCUUCUGGCAGUAAAGCAACCGUGAAAAAGGUUAAAGUCCUUAACAGUAUCCAACUCUGUUGGAACCACUGUUAAAACACCCCUUUUUUUUCAACCUGUCUAAAACAAGUUGAGUGUGAAAUGUGUGUCUAUCUUGACACACUUCCACACGAGAUAUCACAAAAUUAUUUUAAAAGACA
rnacentral:misc_RNA from 1 species